rnacentral:rRNA from 1 species
UAGGGAACCUUCGGCAAUGGACGGAAGUCUGACCGAGCAACGCCGCGUGAGUGAAGAAGGUUUUCGGAUCGUAAAGCUCUGUUGUAAGAGAAGAACGAGUGUGAGAGUGGAAAGUUCACACUGUGACGGUAUCUUACCAGAAAGGGACGGCUAACUACGUGCCAGCAGCCGCGGUAAUACGUAGGUCCCGAGCGUUGUCCGGAUUUAUUGGGCGUAAAGCGAGCGCAGGCGGUUAGAUAAGUCUGAAGUUAAAGGCUGUGGCUUAACCAUAGUAGGCUUUGGAAACUGUUUAACUUGAGUGCAAGAGGGGAGAGUGGAAUUCCAUGUGUGGCGGUGAAAUGCGUAGAUAUAUGGAGGAACACCGGUGGCGAAAGCGGCUCUCUGGCUUGUAACUGACGCUGAGGCUCGAAAGCGUGGGGAGCAAACAGGAUUAGAUACCCUGGUAGUCCACGCUGUAAACGAUGAGUGCUAGGUGUUAGACCCUUUCCGGGGUUUAGUGCCGUAGCUAACGCAUUAAGCACUCCGCCUGGGGAGUACGACCGCAAGGUU